UAAAGAACGAUGACGAAAAAGAGUAGUUUGGCUAAACCAGUUCAGGGAGAUCUGUCGCAGACUGAAAGCAGAUCCUGUGUUUGAAAAAUGAAGUUCACUUUCCGAGUUCGUCUGAUAAAAUCAGACCGGCAAUUGUCGUUAACGAAGUAAGAGUGCGGUGUAAGUCAUUUAUCCGCAAAUUAGGAUGGUAACGCGAAGACCUCGUUCCUUAA
rnacentral:ncRNA from 1 species